GCUUACUUCGGCUGCGUGUGUACUAAAACCAGAGCGAUACAGAGAAGAUUAACAUGGGCCUGCACAAGGAUGGCACACAAAUUUGUGAAGUGUUCCGUAGUGAU